UAAUUUUUCAAUAAUAUUGUUACAACUGACUUACUUAUAAAACAUUGUAUAAAUUCCGUUGUUUCAGAACGAUUCCUAAAGUCUUUGAUGAUAUCUGCCUGGAGCUGCUUUGGAACAUGCAUCUUUUAAAAUUUCUGACGUCUUUGAUUUUAGCUAUGUUUUUAGCUCUUACUUUAUCCACUUGUGGUGCCAAUGGUGGUAUUUUCCAAGAAGACAUGGUGAAGAAUGGGCGUGUUAUGCAAAUGGAAAGGGCUGCUGCAAAUUGGGCUGAUUGGGCUAGAAAGGAAAUGGAGUCUGUAAAAACUUCUGCAAAAGCCAAGGCGGAAGCAAAGAAAUGAAUGAAGAAUGUUACAAAACUGCAAUAUUUUUUUCCAAGACAAAUUUUAUGAAUAAAUUUUAUUUCCUUCGUAA